rnacentral:lncRNA from 1 species
UUGGAAGACUUUGCGAAGGACCAGAUCUCCCUGAUUGAACCUACGAUUCCGUACGUUGGAAUUAUAGUAUCUUGCAGCGGCGUGCUGGUAGUUUUGAAUUCGGAUGAGCGCUUGAUCCCGGCGUUCGUUAAUGAGGUCGAGGUCGUCCAAGAGCAUAGCAUUGUUGAGUUUCUCUCGUUGAGGUAAGAACCUUCUUCGAACACCGGGAAAUUCUACUUCUGC